AUUGAACGCUGGCGGCAGGCCUAACACAUGCAAGUCGAGCGGAUGAAGGGAGCUUGCUCCUGGAUUCAGCGGCGGACGGGGGAGUAAUGCCUAGGAAUCUGCCUGGUAGUGGGGGAUAACGUCCGGAAACGGGCGCUAAUACCGCAUACGUCCUGAGGGAGCAAGUGGGGGAUCUUCGGACCUCACGCUAUCAGAUGAGCCUAGGUCGGAUUAGCUAGUUGGUGGGGUAAAGGCCUACCAAGGCGACGAUCCGUAACUGGUCUGAGAGGAUGAUCAGUCACACUGGAACUGAGACACGGUCCAGACUCCUACGGGAGGCAGCAGUGGGGAAUAUUGGACAAUGGGCGAAAGCCUGAUCCAGCCAUGCCGCGUGUGUGAAGAAGGUCUUCGGAUUGUAAAGCACUUUAAGUUGGGAGGAAGGGCAGUAAGUUAAUACCUUGCUGUUUUGACGUUACCAACAGAAUAAGCACCGGCUAACUUCGUG
rnacentral:rRNA from 1 species